UUUUAGCCCCGAUUGAAGGGAAAAUCCUUUUUCUUUUUUUUCAAGAAAAAAGAAAAAGAUUGGAAUGAAAGCGGGUACGAAU
rnacentral:sRNA from 2 species